rnacentral:lncRNA from 1 species
ACUCACCGCAAGUCCCGCUGCAGCACGUCACUGAUGAAGGUCUCGUAGCGCAGCACUUUCUCCCCCGUGGCCUCCACCGCCCGCCGCUUAGGGGGCGUCGCCAUGAUGGGCUCCUGGGGAGUGGGGAGGGGGAAGACCAUGUUGACCGAUCCAGUUUGGCCUCACACACAGUUCAUCUCUACCCUCUCAACGCUGGGAAUCGGCUUGUCCGGCUCAAGCUGGAGGUUCAGCCUUCCGCCCCUCCCAACUCGGGGACCCGACCACCCAGGGACACCCAAGCGCGGCCUUUACCUCAGGCCGCCAGCAAUAAGAACGGUUGGUAGGAACCGCGGCUUCCGGGUGGCGCGGGUGAAUGACGUUAGAUUUUCAAACAAGAACUUAUAACCCAGCAAGAAUGGGCCUUUGCCUGGAGAAGAAUCCAGACCAUGGGAUGAAUCCCCAAAUGCUAUUUCCAUCUGUAGAGCCUAGAGCACCCACCCCUACCAAGGAAGUCUUCCCAGAUAAUUUGUGUUUCAUAUGUAAAAGCAAGUUUUUUUUUUCAAAUGCUCAAAACCCAAGCAAGUUAAGCCCUUCCUUCCUUCCUUCCUUCCUUUCUUUUCUCUCUCUCUCUCUUUCUUUCUCUCUCUCUCUCUUUCUUUCUUUUUUUUCUUUUUUAGACAGGGUCUGUGUCCCCUAGGCUGGAGUGCAGUGGUAUGAUCAUGACUCAUUGCAGCCUCAACCUCCCAGGCUCAAGUGAUCCUCCCGCUUCAGCCUCUGGAGUACCUGGGACUACUGGCAUACACCACCACGCCCAUCUAAUUUUUAAAAAAGUUUUUGUAGAGACAGAGUCUCACUAUGUUGCCCAGGCUGGUCUCAAACUCCUAGGCUUAAGUGAUUUGCCCACCUCGGCCUCCCAAAAUGCCGAGAUUAUAGGCAUGAGCCAGCACACCUGGCCAAGUUAAGCUUUUCUUUGCCCUUAGAACGAGAUAAUUGUAAAAUGAAAACAUUGAGAUUAGUUUUUUUGGUCUGUAAAUCUCAUGUUACAUAUAGUUUAAAUUACAUUGAGUGUGAUUGGAAUAGAUACUAGGUAGAAAAAUAUUAUCUAGUUAAUCUAUACCACUUUCCUGUGAAAAGAGAGAAAAGAAGACACAUAUUUAUUUAACAGAGAACACAAUUCUGAUGGGCUGGAGAUGAGUCUGUGUAAGUCUAUUAACUUAUAUUUCACAAAAAAGAAUUUUUUACUUAAAAAUGUAUUUCCAACUUUAUUUUUACAUUUCAAACCUACAGAAAAGUUGACAGUGAACACUCAUAUACCCUGCACUUAAGUUCGCCAGUUGUUUUAUUUUGAAUUUUUAAAAUUUUUUUAGAGGCAGGGUCUUGCUCUCUUGCCUAGGCUAGAAUGCAGUGGUGUGAUCUCGGUUCACUGCAACCUCUGCCACCGGGCUCAAGCAAUCCUCCCGCCUAAGCCUCCUGCAUAGCUGGGACUACAGGCAUGAGCCACCAUGCCCAGCUAAUUUUUUGUAGAAAUGGGGUUUCACCAUGUUGCCCAGGCUGGUCUCGAAUGCCUGAGCUCAAUCAGUUCGCCUAACUCGGCCUCCCAGGGUGCUGGGAUUACAGGCGUGAGCCACCAUGCCCGGCCUGGAUUCACUCGUUGUUAAUAUUUGAUCACAUUUGCUUUCUUUCCAGACCAUAGGAUAAUUGUUGACAUGGCUGCAUAGCAUUCCAUUCUUUGGAUGGCCUCAGAUUUUUGAGCCACUCCUCUGUCACUGGAUAUUUGAAUGUGUUCAGAUAUUUUCGUUGUUAUAACCAGGAUGGGAUAAGUCUUUGCUGUCAAAUUUUUGUGCGGAGCCAUGAUUAUUUCCUUGUGAUAAAUUCCUAGAAGUAGAAUUUAUAGAUUUUUUUUGAGACAGAGUCUCACUUUGUUGCCAAGGCUGGAGUGUAGUGGUGUGAUCUCUGCUCAUGGCAACCUCUGCCUCCUGGUUUCAAGUGAUUCUUCUGCUUCAGCCUCUGGAGUAGCUAGGACUACGGGCACACACUACCAUGCCGCCUAGCUAAUUUUUGUAUUUUUAAUAGACACAGGGUUUCACCAUGUUGGCCAGGCUGGUCUCGAACUUGUGGCCUCAAGUGAUCUGCCCACCUCGGCCUCCCAGGGCGCUGGGAUUACAGGCAUGAGCCACCUCACCCGGCUGAAUUUAUGGAUUUAAAGGAGGUCACUGCAUUGUAAAUCAAGUGUUGAGUGACAGUGGUACGCAUAACAGUGAACCUCCUCAUCUAAGCUCUAUAUCAGGGGUCAGCAAAUUAUGGCCCCUGGUUUGCUGACCCUUUACAGUUUCCUAUAGCCUGCAAACUAGGAAUACUAUUUACAUCUUUAAAGGGCUUUAGAAAAGUAAAACUAAUAUUUUGUGACACAUCAAAAUUAUAUGAAAUUUGCAUUUUAGUGUCCAUUAAUAAAAUUUUCUUGGAACACAAGUCUCACUCAUGCGUUUACAUAUUGUCUGUUACUGCUUUCACGCUAUAAUGGCAGAGUUGAGUAGUUGCCAAAGAGACCACAUGGUAUGGACAUCCUAAAGUAUUUACUAUCUGGCCUUUUACAGAAAAGGUUUGCCAACCCCUGCUCUGUACAAUGCCUGUCACCAAUACAGAGGUUGGGGCUCUAACCAGGUGGGUCUCCCUGGCUUCCACUGGCGACCUCUUAACCUGGCUUAUGGGUGCACAUUUUCAGGCUGGUGCUUCUGGGAGAUAUGAGAGACACAGUCAGCUUGUUUCCAGCUCCAAGAUGUGAGAUGGACUGUGUCUCUUAUGUCUGCAUUUGAAUCUUCUCUCCUUUCCAUCCAACUUCCUGCCCCCAGCUCUGACUCAUAGGUCUCUGUCUUUGCCUUUUCCCAAGAAGAGCAAGAAAUGACUAAGGCCCAGGGGAGGCUGCAUUUCCCUGAUAGCUAAUGAUGUAGAACAUCUUGCCAUGUGCUUAUUUGUCAUCUACAUGUCCUUUAUGGUGAAAUGUCUCUUCACAUUCUUUGCUCAUUUACCAAAUGGAUUGCUUAAAAAAAAAAAAAACUUGAGUUUUGAGAGUUCCUUACAUAUUCUAGGUAUGAGUUCUUUGUCAGAUAUGUGGUUUGCAAAUAUUUCCUCCCAGGCUGUAGUUUGUCUUUUUGUCCUCUUAACAAGGUCUUUGUUAGAGCAAACACAUUUAAUUUUGAAGUCUAGUUUAUUGAUUUAAAAACAUUUUUUGGAUCAUGCUUUUGUUGUUGUGUCUAAGAACUCUUCACAAGCCGUAGCUCCCAAAGACGUUCUCCUGUGUUUUAUUUUUAAAGUUUUUUAAUUUUAUGUUUGACAUUUAAAUCUGUGAUCUGUUUUUAAAAAACAGCUUUAUUGAGAUGUAAUUCACAUACAAUAAAACCCACACAUUUGAAGUUUACAGUUCAGCAGUUUUUAAUAUAUUCACAGAGUUGUACAAACAUCACCACAAUCUAACUUUAUUUUUUUAAUAAUUUUUUUUUUUUUGAGACAGGGUCUCACGCUGUCACCCAGGCUGGAGUGCAGUGGUAGGAUCUUGGCUCACUACAGCCUCAACCUCUCAAACGCAAGCGAUCCUCCCUGCCUCACCCCCUCAAGUAGCUGAGACUAUAGGCAUGUGCCACCACGCCGGCUAAGUUUUGUAUUUUUUGUAGAGAUGGGGUUCCACUGUGUUACCCAGGCAGGUCUUGAACUCCUGAGCUCAUUCGAUCCACCCACCUCGGCCUCCCGAAGUACUGGGAUUACAGGCGUGAGGCACCACGCCCAGCAAUCUAGAGUAUUUUCAUCACCCCAAAUAGAACUCCUGUACCCACUCCUCAGUGUGUUCUCCCCACCCCAGCCCUAAGCAACCACAAAUUUAAUUUCAUCUGUAAAAAUUUUUGUAUUCUGCACAUUUCAAUAAAUAGAAUCAUAUACACUAUGUGGCCUUUUAUGCCUGGCUUCUUUCACUUAGUAUAAUGUUUUUAAGUUUCAUUUGUCCAUGUUAUAAUACUUAUUAGUACUUUAUUCCUUUCUAGGGCUGAAUAAUAGUCCCUUGUGCAUAUAUGCCACAUUUUGUUUAUUUCUCUUACCAAUUUCAGUAAAAUGUAAAGUCCUUACUCCUUUUAAG